rnacentral:rRNA from 1 species
UACGUAGGGGGCUGGCGUUGUCCGGAUUUAUUGGGCGUAAAGAGCGUGUAGGCGGCCAGGUAGGUCUGCUGUGAAAACUCGAGGCUCAACCUCGAGACGUCGGCGGAAACCAUCUGGCUAGAGUCCGGAAGAGGAGAGUGGAAUUCCUGGUGUAGCGGUGAAAUGCGCAGAUAUCAGGAAGAACACCCGUGGCGAAGGCGGCUCUCUGGGACGGUACUGACGCUGAGAAGCGAAAGCGUGGGGAGCGAACAGG